AGAAAAGUAAGCUAAAAUAAGCUAGUGGGUUCAUACCCCAUUAAUAGAGUUAUUCCUCUCUUCUCUA
rnacentral:tRNA from 1 species